GAUGAACGCUAGCGGCAGGCCUAAUACAUGCAAGUCGAACGGGAUUGCGGUAGUAGCUUGCUACUACUGCAUGAGAGUGGCGCACGGGUGCGUAACGCGUGAGCAACCUACCCAUAUCAGGGGGAUAGCCCGGCGAAAGUCGGAUUAACACCGCAUAACAUCAACAGUUCGCAUGUUCAGUUGAUUAAAUAUUUAUAGGAUAUGGAUGGGCUCGCGUGACAUUAGCUAGUUGGUAGGGUAACGGCUUACCAAGGCAACGAUGUCUAGGGGCUCUGAGAGGAGAAUCCCCCACACUGGUACUGAGACACGGACCAGACUCCUACGGGAGGCAGCAGUAAGGAAGAUUGGUCAAUGGGCGCAAGCCUGAACCAGCCAUGCCGCGUGCAGGAGGACUGCCCUAUGGGUUGUAAACUGCUUUUAGCAGGGAAUAAACCCCUUUACGAGUAGAGGGUUGAAUGUACCUGAAGAAUAAGGAUCGGCUAACUCCGUG
rnacentral:rRNA from 1 species